rnacentral:lncRNA from 1 species
GUUCUUUCACUCUGGUCUCUAACGUUCUUGUAGUCACUCCAACAUAAGCUGAUUCUUCCCCUGUGUUAUUAUCUGCUAUCGGUAUUUGAUAAACCCCUCUCCUUUCUCUUUGCUCAAACCUGUCUUUUCACCAUAUUUAGGUUUCCUAAGUGAUACGGGAUCGACAAAAAGUCCUUCUUACUAUUAUCAUUAGCCUUUCCCCUCCCAUUAUCCUUUUUAACUUGGUGCCAUAUUUUCAUUAAGAAAGGCCUAUCAUACUCAUGGUGCUCUCCCAUUUUAAGUAUAUAUUCUAAUUUGUUAUUCAGGUAAUACAGCCCUAGCUUGGGAGGCAUAUAGUAGAAACGUCACUGUGAAGUGGGAUGGAAUCGGAUGGAUUGGGCCGCUGGAGGGGGGUGUGCUGCCGACGAUGGUUGAAUCUGUUGAGGUUUUGGGGAGAGCAGGGAGAGAGGGGUUGGUUGGUGACGGGCUUGCUUGGGAGCCGUCUGGGGCUUGGAGGUGUCUGCUUGAUGGAGGUGUGGCUGAUUGAUGGGGAGGAGUGUGUGAUGGGGGUUGCUGGGAUUUGGUUCGGUGAAGAUUUGGAUCUAUGCUGGGAGGGUAGUUGUGCUUUGGUAGCAUUAUGGAGACUUUAGGUUGGGCAUGGUGUUGU